rnacentral:rRNA from 1 species
AGCGAACGCUAGCGGCGAGCUUAACACAUGCAAGUCGAGCGGAGGGUUUCGGCCCUCAGCGGCGGACGGGUGAGUAACACGUAGGUUACGUGCCCUUUGGUGGGGAAUAACUUAGGGAAACCUGAGCUAAUACCGCAUAUGCCCUUCGGGUGAAAGUCUUCGGACGCCAGAGGAUCGGCCUGCGGCCCAUUAUUUAAUCCUUGUUGGUGGGGUAACGGCCUACCAAGGGUACGAUGGGUAGCUGGUCUGAGAGGAUGAUCAGCCACACUGGAACUGAGACACGGUUCAGACUCCUACGGGAGGCAGCAGUGGGGGAAUAUUGGACAAUGGGCGAAAGCCUGAUCCAGCCACGCCGCGUGGGUGAUGAAGGCCUCGGUUGUAAAG